AGCAGUGGGGAAUUUUGGACAAUGGGCGCAAGCCUGAUCCAGCAAUGCCGCGUGAGUGAAGAAGGCCUUCGGGUUGUAAAGCUCUUUCAGUCGAGAAGAAAAGGCUGCAGUGAAUAACUGUAGUUUAUGACGGUAUCGACAGAAGAAGCACCGGCUAACUACGUGCCAGCAGCCGCGGUAAUACGUAGGGUGCGAGCGUUAAUCGGAAUUACUGGGCGUAAAGGGUGCGCAGGCGGUUUUGUAAGUCAGAUGUGAAAUCCCCGGGCUUAACCUGGGAAUUGCGUUUGAAACUACAAGGCUAGAGUGUGGCAGAGGGAGGUGGAAUUCCAUGUGUAGCAGUGAAAUGCGUAGAGAUAUGGAAGAACAUCGAUGGCGAAGGCAGCCUCCUGGGUUAACACUGACGCUCAUGCACGAAAGCGUGGGGAGCAAACAGGAUUAGAUACCCUGGUAGUCCACGCCCUAAACGAUGUCAACUAGUUGUCGGGCCUUAUUAGGCUUAGUAACGAAGCUAACGCGUGAAGUGAC
rnacentral:rRNA from 1 species